CCUACGGGCGGCUGCAGCAAGGAAUCUUCCCCAAUGGGCCAACGCCUGAGGGAGCAACGCCGCGUGGAGGAUGACGGCUUUCGGGUUGUAAACUCCUUUUCGGGGGGACGAUACGGACGGUACCCCCACAAUAAGCCCCGGCUAACUCUGUGCCAGCAGCCGCGGUAAGACAGAGGGGGCAAGCGUUGUCCGGAUUGACUGGGCGUACAGCGCGCGCAGGCGGCAGGGUAUGUGCCAUGUGACAUCCCACGGCUCAACCGUGGGCGGCCGUGGUA
rnacentral:rRNA from 1 species